rnacentral:lncRNA from 1 species
UCCCAUUACCCUGCUAAAUACUGGGUCUGGAUUUAAAACACACACACACACACACACACACACACACACACACACACAAAGUAAGCAAGAGGCAAGGUUUCGGCAGAGUAAAUUGUCAUGUGUGAGACUGUGAUUAAGCAUUCAUCCAUCACUGAGAAAAGCAUUCCAGGAAGGAAGCACUUGAAUGGAGUUCAUGUCCGUGGCAGACUGUAGCAGAUGAUGGCUUCAUAGACUCUUGUGUCUUCCCAGGACUCUCUUGUAAAGUGAAUUUCUCUUCCUACUGAACACAGUGGAAUGUCUGACUUGAACCUAACCUGCCAAAGCAAAAAAGAGUAUAUGUGGAACUGAAUAAAGUUAUGGUCUCUAAGAGCCACCAGGGACCCAGAGGUAGUGCGUCCUUUGAGGAGAGCUGGAUGCCUGUCAUGUACUUCAGAGCAGGCUGGGAAGCACCCAGGGUGUCUUUUUCUUAUUAUGGACAUGGUUUUCCUCACUCUGGUUCUACAAGUAGAUGCCACAAUAAAACUGCCUCUGGACACUUCACACUCAAGCUGACGUGACCCUCUAACCACAGAAUUACCAAGUCAAAUGGACUGUGGCCCGCUUUGUAAAGCCUUCCACCUCCAUAAUUCAAUCAAAGAUAUCAGUAAAUGGAGUGAAAGUCUGCUCAUGGGAAAGAGCAACAGAAAUGUGGGAAAACUAAAGGCUUAAGUUUUAUGUAUGUCUUAGAUUGGUUUGGCAGAAACCCAACUUA